GGGAACUUUACUUGGUAUGAUUGUUGGAAUCAUUUUUGGCUUCCUGAUUGGAGCUUUAUCUCCUGGGCUGUCAUUAACCAAGCUUUAUAUUACUGGAAGUCUUGAUGUGGAUUCCACCAAUGAGAAUAACGACCUUACAGCAAAUCAGAAUGUCAUGGAUCCUCCAAAGAUUUGGGAUUCAUCGAACCCCAGAGGGGCAGAAAGAUUACCCCCAGAAAUCGUUGUUUCUGAGUCAGACUUCUU